GCAACCAAUGGUGGUGUGAUCGUGAAGGAGGAUCAAAAGGACUUCUUGGAUGUUCUUCUUGAAAUUCAAAAUGAUGGCACAAAUGGCAUUAGCAUGGCUAGAGAGAACAUGAAAGCCAUUAUCCUGGUAAGCACAUUUUGCCUAAUCAAUCCAAGCUAGCUCCAAAGGCAGAUUAUUUAUUUACAUGCAAACGCACAAGAAUCUUAAUACAAGAUCGCUAUAUAUGCUAUGAUCAAUGCGUUAUAAUCAAUUUCUUGUAGGACAUGUUUGCUGGUGGAACGGAUACCACUUACACUGCUCUAGAAUGGGCACUGACAGAGCUUAUAAAGCAUAGCAAAACUAUGAAAAAGGUGCAGGAAGAGGUGAGACGGAUUGCUGGAAGCAAAUCUUACAUUAAUGAAGAUCAUAUAGAGAAAAUGUUUUACCUCAAGGCAGUGAUAAAGGAGACUUUACGACUACACCCUCCAGUUCCAUUGCUGCUUCCGCGACAAGCAACAAAAGAUGUCCAGGUAGGAGGCUACAACAUUCCUGCCAAAUCCAGAGUUAUUAUCAAUGCGUGGGCAAUAGGGAGAGAUCCUGCUUCAUGGGAAGAACCAGAGAAAUUUAAACCUGAGAGGUUCCUGGACAACUGUUCAAGUUUCAAAGGGAAUGAUUUUCAGUUCAUUCCUUUCGGAGCUGGUAGAAGGGGGUGUCCUGGAGCUACAUUUGCUAUUGCAAUUGUUGAGCUUGUAUUGUCAAAUCUAUUGUACAAGUUUG
rnacentral:lncRNA from 1 species